rnacentral:rRNA from 1 species
AUUGAACGCUGGCGGCAUGCUUUACACAUGCAAGUCGAACGGUAACAGGUUAAGCUGACGAGUGGCGAACGGGUGAGUAAUGCAUCGGAACGUGCCCGGUCGUGGGGGAUAACGCAGCGAAAGCUGCGCUAAUACCGCAUACGAUCUGAGGAUGAAAGCGGGGGACCGUAAGGCCUCGCGCGAUCGGAGCGGCCGAUGUCAGAUUAGGUAGUUGGUGGGGUAAAGGCUCACCAAGCCAACGAUCUGUAGCUGGUCUGAGAGGACGACCAGCCACACUGGGACUGAGACACGGCCCAGACUCCUACGGGAGGCAGCAGUGGGGAAUUUUGGACAAUGGGCGAAAGCCUGAUCCAGCAAUGCCGCGUGCAGGAAGAAGGCCUUCGGGUUGUAAACUGCUUUUGUACGGAGCGAAAAGGUCUCCUCUAAUGCAGGGGGCUCAUGACGGUACCGUAAGUAUAAGCACCGGCUAACUACGUGCCAGCCGCCGCAGAAA